rnacentral:rRNA from 1 species
GAUGAACGCUGGCGGUGUGCCUAAUACAUGCAAGUCGAGCGAACAGAUGAGGAGCUUGCUCCUCUGACGUUAGCGGCGGACGGGUGAGUAACACGUGGAUAACCUACCUAUAAGACUGGGAUAACUACGGGAAACCGGAGCUAAUACCGGAUAAUAUAUUGAACCGCAUGGUUCAAUAGUGAAAGACGGUUUUGCUGUCACUUAUAGAUGGAUCCGCGCCGCAUUAGCUAGUUGGUAAGGUAACGGCUUACCAAGGCAACGAUGCGUAGCCGACCUGAGAGGGUGAUCGGCCACACUGGAACUGAGACACGGUCCAGACUCCUACGGGAGGCAGCAGUAGGGAAUCUUCCGCAAUGGGCGAAAGCCUGACGGAGCAACGCCGCGUGAGUGAUGAAGGUCUUCGGAUCGUAAAACUCUGUUAUUAGGGAAGAACAAAUGUGUAAGUAACUAUGCACGUCUUGACGGUACCUAAUCAGAAAGUCACGGCUAACUACGUGCCAGCAGCCGCGGUAAUACGUAGGUGGCAAGCGUUAUCCGGAAUUAUUGGGCGUAAAGCGCGCGUAGGCGGUUUUUUAAGUCUGAUGUGAAAGCCCACGGCUCAACCGUGGAGGGUCAUUGGAAACUGGAAAACUUGAGUGCAGAAGAGGAAAGUGGAAUUCCAUGUGUAGCGGUGAAAUGCGCAGAGAUAUGGAGGAACACCAGUGGCGAAGGCGACUUUCUGGUCUGUAACUGACGCUGAUGUGCGAAAGCGUGGGGAUCAAACAGGAUUAGAUACCCUGGUAAUCCACGCCGUAAACGAUGAGUGCUAAGUGUUAAGGGGUU